GACGUAGGGCGCGAGCGUUGUCCGGAUUUAUUGGGCGUAAAGAGCUCGUAGGCGGUCUGUCGCGUCGGAUGUGAAAACCCAGGGCUCAACCCUGGGCCUGCAUUCGAUACGGGCAGACUAGAGUACGGCAGGGGAGACUGGAAUUCCUGGUGUAGCGGUGAAAUGCGCAGAUAUCAGGAGGAACACCGGUGGCGAAGGCGGGUCUCUGGGCCGAAACUGACGCUGAGGAGCGAAAGCGUGGGGAGCGAACAGG
rnacentral:rRNA from 1 species